AUUAAACGCUGGCGGCAUGCCUAAUACAUGCAAGUCGGACGGGGGUAGCAAUACCCUAGUGGCGAACGGGUGAGUAACACGUGGGAAAUCUGCCUUUAAGUCGAGGAUAACUGCUGGAAACGCAGCUAAAACUGGAUAGGUUAUAUUGGGGCAUCCUGAUAUAAUUAAAAGUCCUUUACGGGAAUGCUUAAAGAGUGAUCCUGCGUCGCAUUAGCUAGUUGGUGAGGUAGCGGCUCACCAAGGCGACGAUGCGUAGCUGUGCUGAGAGGCAAAACAGCCACACUGGGACUGAGACACGGCCCAGACUCCUACGGGAGGCAGCAGUAGGGAAUUUUGGACAAUGGGCGAAAGCCUGAUCCAGCGAUGCCGCGUGGGUGAAGAAGGCCUGCGGGUUGUAAAGCCCUUUCGAUGGGGAAAAGCCUGGAGCCAAUACCUCCGGGUCUUGACGUUACCCAGAGAAGAAGCACCGGCUAACUCCGUGCCAGCAGCCGCGGUAAAC
rnacentral:rRNA from 1 species